rnacentral:rRNA from 1 species
UGGGGAAUAUUGGACAAUGGGCGCAAGCCUGAUCCAGCCAUGCCGCGUGAGUGAUGAAGGCCUUAGGGUUGUAAAGCUCUUUUAUCCGGGACGAUAAUGACGGUACCGGAGGAAUAAGCCCCCGGCUAACUUCGUGCCAGCAGCCGCGGUAAUACGAAGGGGGCUAGCGUUGCUCGGAAUCACUGGGCGUAAAGGGCGCGUAGGCGGCGUUUUAAGUCGGGGGUGAAAGCCUGUGGCUCAACCACAGAAUGGCCUUCGAUACUGGGACGCUUGAGUAUGGUAGAGGUUGGUGGAACUGCGAGUGUAGAGGUGAAAUUCGUAGAUAUUCGCAAGAACACCGGUGGCGAAGGCGGCCAACUGGACCAUUACUGACGCUGAGGCGCGAAAGCGUGGGGAGCAAACA